UAGUUUUUGAGUUUAAUUUUCUGAUUUCAAAUCAUAUGAAUUGUUCUGUAGAUGAUUCCGUGGUUUUUUUAAGCAUUUAUAAAAACGAUAUGUCACCCUGUUCAACAAAUCUAAAUCUUUGAAAUGUGGUAUUCGGAAUGCGCAGGCAAGAGUGGUUUGGUAUCAAAUAAAACGCGAAAUUUUAAAAGAAUUAUGUUCUAAAAAGUAAUAUUGUUUGAAAAUAAAUUUUAAGUGCUGAAAAUAUUUAUUGGAAAGCACAAGAACAUCAAACAACAACAUGGGCGUAAAGAGCAACAGAAUGUCGAGAAAUACAUGAAAAAUCUUAAUAACGCAAUCUGAUCUGCCUCCUUCUUUAAGAUCUGUUGUGGUGCGCCUAAAGCUCCUUGGAUUGAUAUCGUUUCGCUCCAGGUGAAUGUGAUUCAAAAUUGCUAACGGUGUCCUCCUCCUCCUGCAGCGAAAUGAUCUUUGAAUGCAAAGAGAAGAGAAAAAUAUCUUAGUUCAUUGGAAAAUUGCAAAGUUUUUGCAUAAAAAUUAUUUUAGAAAUAUUUUUUUCUUCUAAAUUAACAAUCCUAUAAAUAGAAAUUUAUUUUAUUUUUCCGAAAAAAAAUGUAAGAAUUGCGCUAUAAUUCGGUUUAAAAAGUCUGGCAUGACAUAUGUUCACCUCGAUGUUUAACUAAAGCACUACUCAUCUAUAAAUAAUAGUUCCAGUUAAAAGUAAUCUAUUAUCUUUGUAACAGACGGCUUUAGUGAUCUGUAACUCGGGUUCUAUACGUGCGAUUGGAAUACGCUAGAUGGCGGUAGGAAGAUGAAAUGUUGUAUUUGAAAAAAAUCGGUACAAAUGUUGAUCACUUUACUCAGCAUUGUUUGAGCGCACGUCAAAGCUGAUCGAUGCUGAUGCGAGCACUAACUCGAUUCCCAGCAGCUAAAUAUUGCACAGAAAACAAUUCGGCACCACUUGAAAAAGGCUGAGUUGACGAGAAAAAACAUCAUGGACCAGAUUUCCAUUUGCGCAUCGCUGCUAAGUCCUAGGGCAGUGAGCCGGCUUAAACGGUCUCCAAGCCAAGACCGACAGCCAGGGAGGUUUUGUUGUUUGUUUGGUGGGAUUAACAAGGAAUCAUCCGCUAUGAGCUAGUUCUGACGGCCAAACUUUUAAUUUGGAUCUUUACCAUCAGCAGAGGAAUUGUAUUUCAUCAGGAUAACGCCAGACCACACGCACCUAUAUUGAUUAUCCAGUAGCUUCGAGAGCUUGGUUGGGAGGUUUUUAUGCAUCUAUUUUAGAGUUCGGGUCUCACAUCAAGUGAUUACCAACUGUUCGGGUCUAUGGUGAAUUAAUUGUCUGGUAAAGAAUUGAGCUCAAGAGAAGUCUUUUUGCCAAUAAGGACCAAAGCUUUUAUGAUAAAAGCAUAAAGACAUUACCUUGAAAUGGUAGAAAGUUAUCGAGAAAAACGGUGCAGAUUUGACAUAAAUCGGAUAAUUGUAACUAUGGUAAACGAAGCUAUCAACUUAAUGCAUUCAUAAUGGACUCGUUUUUACUUCAUAUUCUUCUACGCUUUGCUUAGCGUAACAUUUCACACUUUGCCACGUCAACGCUUUGAUCUCAGUAAUAUUCAGAAAAUAAGUGAACUGAGGCUCUCACGGCCACCGGAGGGAUUUUGGAUUCGUCAUGUUGGCAACGCGGUAGUGUAGCCAGACUUCUCCCAUUUACAAUGAGAUCGGUUCAAGGUCAGUACAUUGAAAGCCGCCGUUUCGUGAAGAAUAUCAAUCCAGUCUUUAAUCGAACAAGGGCAGUACAUCAACUCUGCAGGAUACUGUGAGGGUCGGAAAAAAUAUUCUUCGUGCAAUAAAAAUUUUUCUUUUUGCAGAAAAAAAUUAAACGUCAUACACAUUGCGCCGACAGAAAAUAUUUUGUCUUACCCUCGCUUACAACAAGCUCUAUUCGCUUCCUUGUCCAAUCUUUGGUAAAUUGCACCUUCCCUAUUUAUCCCUAUUUAGUUGUCACACGGGACUGCGUUAGCCCAGAGCUAUUUCACAGUACUGAGGUCGUUUUAAUUCUGACGUAGCUUUUGGUAUUGCGCAGUUUACAUUUCGCGUUGAUACAAGAUUCGAAAAUAAGUUAGAUAACCUGUCCAUCCCACCUAUGCUCCAACUUGCAGUGAUACUGGGGAUUUUAUUCUAUCAAGAGUUAGUGGGUAGUGGGUAGGACUGAAUCCAUAAUGACAAGGUUCAAUCGGUUCACUGGAAGUGUGCUUUAAUUAUUCACGUUCUACACUAAAAUAGACCUUAUAUGCAUAUAUUUAGGUGACUACAAGGUCCUCUUCUUUGUCGGUUUCUCGCCAACAAGUGAGAGUUGCUCAGUCGAUAGAUUGUCAGCUGAGAGCAAUUCUUACGCAGAUUGCAACAAAAUCAGAGAUUAAUGGCUGAAGAUUAGGCCUCGCCAUAUUCAGUGCUUCCUCUAUACAAAAGAAUUUUAGAGAAUUUCAGUCACCAGAUCACCUCUGUGGGUCAAACAUGAGUAUGCUAUUUUUUUUUGAAAGCUUGUAUGAGUCAGCACUUUUUCGCAUAAAAUAUUCGAACUAUACGCUAAAGUCUUACUGCAUCGUCCAUUCUCCUGGAGUGCCGCUGCGACAAGAAAUAUGCUUACCAUAAAAAUUUGAUUUAUGGUCAAGUAAUAAGUAAUACAUUAUUAUUACGCAUUAAAUUUAAGGCUUUAUAUGUCUGAAAUGUUAGAAUUAUCCGAUCUGUGUCAAAUACGCAUUGUUUUGCUUUAUAACUGUUUGCAAUUUUGAAGGAAAUGUCAUUAAAUAUGCCUCUCUCAUAGAAAUCCUUGUGCUUGUGGUCUGACAUUGUCCUAAUGAAACACAAUUGCCCCACCGUUGAUCAAAGCUGGGCGCUUCUGGUCCAAUUGCUGAUAGUACCAGGGCCAAAUUAUAUGUUAAGCCAUAGGGGAGUAGCUCAUAGUGAAUGAUUACUUGUUAAUCACACCAAACACACAACAAAACCUUCCUGGCUGUCAAUUCUAGCUUGGGAACUUCUUGUGCUCCUUCACUGUCCUUCGACUACGUCCGUUUGUAUUGGACGUUGCUUUAAGUGAUCCAUUCUGUAUCACUUCUUCAGAAAUGGGUUUCUUUGACAAAGAUUCAGCAGCGAUCGCAAUUAGAAAAUUUAACUUAUAUUUUUUUAAAUUAAUUUUUCCUAUCUUUUGGUUGUUGGUGGCACCGGGAUUUGAACCUGAGCCUUCCGAAUUUCAGUACGCGAUGUUAACCAGUCGGCUAUUGCCAAAGAGCGGUCUAUUAAAAAAAAAAUAAUGGAUUACUUUUUACUAAGCCAAUAAGU